AUAUGAGUUAAUAAUAACAAAUAAUUCUUAAAGCAUAUUUACCAUUUAUGAUAAUACAUGUUUACGAUGCAUUC
rnacentral:tRNA from 1 species